rnacentral:rRNA from 1 species
AUACGGAGGAUCCAAGCGUUAUCCGGAUUCAUUGGGUUUAAAGGGAGCGUAGGCGGAUGUAUAAGUCAGUGGUGAAAGCCUAAGGCUCAACUGUAGAAUUGCAAUUGAUACUGUUGGUCUUGAGUGCACUUGAUGUGGGCGGAAUGCGUGGUGUAGCGGUGAAAUGCUUAGAUAUGACGAAGAACACCGAUUGCGAAGGCAGCUCACAGAACUGUAACUGACGCUGAGGCACGAAAGUGUGGGUAUCAAACAGGAUUAGAUACCCUGGUAGUCCACGCUGUAAACGAUGAAUACUCGCUGUUUGCGAUAUACAGUCAGCGGCCAAGCGAAAGCAUUAAGUAUUCCACCUGGGGAGUACGACCGCAAGAUUGA